GACGAACGCUGGCGGCGUUCUUAACACAUGCAAGUCGAACGGAAAGGCCCUGCUUUUGUGGGGUGCUCGAGUGGCGAACGGGUGAGUAACACGUGAGUAACCUGCCCUUGACUUUGGGAUAACUUCAUGAAACUGGGGCUAAUACCGGAUAGUAGCUCCUGCUGCAUGGUGGGGGUUGGAAAGUUUCGGCGGUUGGGGAUGGACUCGCGGCUUAUCAGCUUGUUGGUGGGGUAGUGGCUUACCAAGGCUUUGACGGGUAGCCGGCCUGAGAGGGUGACCGGCCACAUUGGGACUGAGAUACGGCACAGACUCCUACGGGAGGCAGCAGUGGGGAAUAUUGCACAAUGGGCGGAAGCCUGCUGCAGCAAAGCCGCGUGCGGGAUGACGGCCUUCGGGUUGUAAACCGCUUUCGCCUGUGACGAAGCGUGAGUGACGGUAAUGGGUAAAGAAGCACCGGCUAACUACGUG
rnacentral:rRNA from 1 species